GAGGAGUAGGUCAGACGAAACUCGAAUCUGGACACCUUAAACGUGGAUAUUUGGAAGAGGGAUGUGCCUCGGUAGAGUUUCAGAUGUUAUCGGAAAGCGGACAGGUACGGAGCACGUCUAUCUUGACGCCAGCGAUGAGCUACCAGCAACACACCUGCUCCACCGCCAGCCAGGGAUUCGGGUGCCUCCUCAGUUGCUUACCAUCCUCUGCAUACUGCCCCACUCCCCGCACCUGUGGAUGCCUCCUAACACUGGGCGAGGCCACAACACACCGUGAAUCCAGCUGCUAGCUGUCUCCACACCUGCCCAGGGUGCCAGGAGAAGGUAUGUUGGCAAGACUAUAAAUUCAUGGUGACCAGCCCCUGCUGUGCCUCCAUAGUCCUACCCCUUUUCUCUCAUGUCUUGCUUUUUCACUAUCUACCUCAACUACUUUCACACCUUCACCACCUUUCUCACUUAUAAUUUCCUCCUCCUUCCCCCUUACCUCCUACUUCACAGAGAACAUAGAAGUCAGUAACUGUGAACCACUUCAGCUUUCUGUAGCAGACCUAUCUGCAUCCACACCCAUCUUUUCUUCUCUCUGGACACAACAAAUAACAUGUGCUUCUUGUCUAAGUUCAGUUCAUUCACUUAGGCUCUGAAUCUUAUUCUCUCACAUUUUCUUGGAAAUCUUUUGCUAUCUAUUAAUCUCACUCUUUCUCACUUUUACUCCUACUCUCUUUCCCCUCCUUCUCUGCCACUCUCUUCUCAUUUAAACAUGCUGACAUCUGUAGGGUUUUUUUGUUUUGUUUUGUUUUUUUUGAGACGAGGUUUCAACUCUGUCGCUUAGGCUGGAGUGCAAUGGCAUGAUCUUGGCUCACUGCAACCUCCACCAACCGGCUCAAGCAAUUCUCUUGCCUCAGCCUCCCAAAGAUGCUUCCUUGAUCUCCUAUGCAUGUCCAUCUAUUAUUCUAUCUCCUCUAUAGCAAAACUUCUUUAAAGAGUAUGUGCUUUUGUUGUCUCUAUUUUCUCACCUGUUACUCUUCAAAUUAUCCCCAUUGAAAUUCCAAACCUAUCAUCUCUUGAAAUGUCUCACUCUAAGGUCACGAAAACGUCCAUGUGGCUAAAGCCGAAGUUCCCGCCUUACUUGGCCUCUGCAGCAUUCAUCACAAUGAAUCACUCCCUUCUGUUUGACUUCUGAGACCACCUCCCCUUGGUUGAUUCUCUCCUCUCUGGUCCGUCUUUUCAGAUACGUUUGUUUGCCUUUUCUUCUACCCAAACAUUAAAUAAAGGAGUUUUUCAAGGCUUGGUCUUGGGACAUGUUCUUGUCUGACUCUGUGCUCUUUCCCUGUCCCAUAGGUUCAGCUAUCACACAUAUGCUGAUGAAUCCUACAUUUUUAUGUCUGCAACCUUAACCCCUGUAUCCACUGGCUCCUUGGCAUCAGUGCUGACUGUGUCACAGGCUCCUCAGUCUGAAUUGCACUCAGUUCUUU
rnacentral:lncRNA from 1 species